rnacentral:rRNA from 1 species
GGCAGGUUGAAGGUUGGGUAACACUAACUGGAGGACCGAACCGACUAAUGUUGAAAAAUUAGCGGAUGACCUGUGGCUGGGGGUGAAAGGCCAAUCAAACCGGGAGAUAGCUGGUUCUCCCCGAAAGCUAUUUAGGUAGCGCCUCGUGAAUUCAUCUCCGGGGGUAGAGCACUGUUUCGGCUAGGGGGCCAUCCCGGCUUACCAACCCGAUGCAAACUGCGAAUACCGGAGAAUGUUAUCACGGGAGACACACGGCGGGUGCUAACGUCCGUCGUGAAGAGGGAAACAACCCAGACCGCCAGCUAAGGUCCCAAAGUCAUGGUUAAGUGGGAAACGAUGUGGGAAGGCCCAGACAGCCAGGAUGUUGGCUUAGAAGCAGCCAUCAUUUAAAGAAAGCGUAAUAGCUCACUGGUCGAGUCGGCCUGCGCGGAAGAUGUAACGGGGCUAAACCAUGCACCGAAGCUGCGGCAGCGACACUGUGUGUUGUUGGGUAG